rnacentral:rRNA from 1 species
CUUGCCCUUUAGACUGGGAUAACAGAGGGAAACUUCUGAUAAUACUGGAUAAGUUAGUAUAUCGCAUGAUAUGCAAAUGAAAGCUACGGCACUAAAGGAGAGCUUUGCGUCCUAUUAGCUAGUUGGUAAGGUAAGAGCUUACCAAGGCGAUGAUAGGUAGCCGGCCUGAGAGGGUGGACGGCCACAAGGGGACUGAGAUACGGCCCUUACUCCUACGGGAGGCAGCAGCC